rnacentral:rRNA from 1 species
CCUACGGGUGGCUGCAGUGGGGAAUAUUGCACAAUGGGGGAAACCCUGAUGCAGCGACGCCGCGUGAGCGAUGAAGUCUUUCGGUAUGUAAAGCUCUAUCAGCAGGGAAGAAAAUGACGGUACCUGACUAAGAAGCCCCGGCUAACUACGUGCCAGCAGCCGCGGUAAUACGUAGGGGGCAAGCGUUAUCCGGAUUUACUGGGUGGAAAGGUAGCGUAGACGGCGAUGCAAGCCAGAUGUGAAAGCCCGGGGCUCAACCCCGGGACUGCAUUUGGAACUGUAUAGCUGGAGUGUAGGAGAGGCAGGCGGAAUUCCUAGUGUAGCGGUGAAAUGCGUAGAUAUUAGGAGGAACACCAGUGGCGAAGGCGGCCUGCUGGACGAUGACUGACGUUGAGGCUCGAAAGCGUGGGGAGCAAACAGGAUUAGAUACCCUUGUAGUC